rnacentral:lncRNA from 1 species
GCUUGCAAAGAGGCAAACAACGAAAAUUUGAAAAUAAAGUGCCUCAAGUCCACACAACUUGAUUACAGUGAUUUGGCAGAUUUUAUCAACAGUUAUUCAAACAGUAUCAAUACAAGAGCCAACCAGAUUGCACUAGAAAAAGAGAUAAAUGAGAUUGCAUUGGUAAGUAUAAAUAUUAUUUUAAGCCAAACAACGAGCCAUUUUGGAUGUUUGGAGUGAUUCAAAAAAGUGGUUUUCUACAAGUAAAAAACUCCAAACACGACUUGAUAUUCAAAGGAAGGUA